CUCACGGUCUCACGGUAUUGCAAUGAGAACAAUUUAAAACACUUAGCGAGGAUCAAGUGGAGGACAAGUCUGGUGCCAGCACCCGCGGUAAUUCCAGCUCCACUAGCGUAUAUUAAAGUUGUUGCAGUUAAGAAGCUCGUAGUUGAACCUCUGUCUGGGGCUAAUUUUGGCUUAGGUCAGGUUAGUUCUAGGCAUCCGCCUACAAGACUUAGAGGGCAUUUACUUGUUCACUAGGAGGAGUAGGCAUUUUACUUUGAAAAAAUUAGAGUGUUUAAGGCAGGCAAUAGCUCGCAUAUAUUAGCAUGGAAUAAUAGAAUAGGACACUUUUCCAUUUCGUUGGUUAUUGGAAUCGUGUAAUGAUUAAUAGGGACAGUUGUGGGCAUUUGUAUUUAAUUGUCAGAGGUGAAAUUCUUGGAUUUAUUAAAGACAAACUAACGCGAAAGCAUUUGCCAAGGAUGUUUUCAUUAAUCAAGAACGAAAGUUAGGGGAUCAAAGACGAUCAGAUACCGUCCUAGUCUUAACUAUAAACUAUUCCGACUCAAUGUUUGACUGGCUUAUAUAACCAGUUGAGCGUUGUAUGAGAAAUCAAAGUCUUUAGGUUCUGGGGGGAGUAUGGUUGCAAAGCUGAAACUUAAAGGAAUUGACGGAAGAGCACAACCAGGAGUGGAUUCUGCGGCUUAAUUUGACUCAACACGGGGAAACUUACCAGGUUAAAACAAUAGUGGGAUUGACAGUUUGAGAGCGCUUUCUUGAUUUGUUGGGUGGUGGUGCAUGGCCGUUCUUAGUUGGUGGAGUGAUUUGUCUGCUUAAUUGCGUUAACGAACGAGACCUUAACCUGCUUACUAGACUAAUGAUCAGUAAUCGUUAGCUCUUCUUAGAGGGACUUUGGUUGUUUUAACUCCAAGGAAGUUUGAGGCAAUAACAGGUCUGUGAUGCCCUUAGAUAUCCCGGGCCGCACACGUCAUACAAUGACUAGUUCAGAAAGUUUUCUCCUGACCCGGAAGGGGAUGGGUAAUCUUGAUAAUACUAGUCGUGUUAGGGAUCGAUCUUUGCAAUUAUAGAUCUUGAACGAGGAAUUCCUAGUAAGUGCGGUUCAUCAGACCGUACUGAUUACGUCCCUGCUCUUUGUACACACCGCCCGUCGCUUCUACCGAGUGGGUGGUCCGGUGAGAUACUUGAACUUCUUAAGCAAUUGAGAGGAAAGAUUAUCAAACCUAUCCACCUCGA
rnacentral:rRNA from 1 species